rnacentral:rRNA from 1 species
GUCUUUUUGUAAAUAAUUUAAAGUCUAACCUGCCCACUGAAUUUUUAAAUGGCCGUGGUAUUUUGACCGUGCUAAGGUAGCAUAAUCAUUAGUUUUUUAAUUAAGAACUGGAAUGAAAGGUUGAAUAAGAAAAUAACUGUCUCUAUUAAAUUUAAUUAGAAUUUUAUUUUUAAGUUAAAAAGCUUAAUUAAUAUUAAAAGACGAGAAGACCCUAUAGAGUUUUAUUAUUUAAUAAAAAUUAUAUUUUAGUAUUUAUAUAUUUAAUUUAUUAAAUAAUUUAAUUGGGGUGAUUGAAAAAUUUAUUAAACUUUUUUUAUUUUUUAACAUUUAUUUAUGAUUAAAUGAUCCAUUAUUUUUGAUUAUAAGAUAAAAUUACCUUAGGGAUAACAGCGUAAUUUUUUUAGAGAGUUCAUAUUAAAAGAAAUGAUUGCGACCUCGAUGUUGGAUUAAAAUAAAUUUUUGGUGUAGAAGCUAAAAUAUUAGGUCUGUUCGACCUUUAAAAUUUUAC